GACGAACGCUGGCGGCGUGCUUAACACAUGCAAGUCGAACGGAAAGGCCCUGCCUGUGUGGGGUGCUCGAGUGGCGAACGGGUGAGUAACACGUGAGUAACCUGCCCUUGACUUUGGGAUAACUUCAGGAAACUGGGGCUAAUACCGGAUAGGAGCUCCUGCUGCAGGGUGGGGGUUGGAAAGUUUCGGCGGUUGGGGAUGGACUCGCGGCUUAUCAGCUUGUUGGUGGGGUAGUGGUUUACCAAGGCUUUGACGGGUAGCCGGCAUGAGAGGGUGACCGGGCACAUUGGGACUGAGAUACGGCCCAGACUCCUACGGGAGGCAGUAGUGGGGAAUAUUGCACAAUGGGCGGAAGCCUGAUGCAGCAACGCCGCGUGCGGGAUGACGGCCUUCGGGGUGUAAACCGCUUUCGCCUGUGACGAAGCGUGAGUGACGGUAAUGGGUAAAGAAGCACCGGCUAACUACGUG
rnacentral:rRNA from 1 species